UGGACGUUCGCGUCUUCAUCGCUGUUCAUGCGCAAUACCUAGUCAGCUUUAUCGACAAAGGGAAAGAAAAUAAACGCAAGGCCAAGCGAUCAAUGUACGUUGAGGGACGGAUAUCGGACGCCAUAGUUAUCCGAUGAAGGGGUCCCUUUAAGGUUGUGUUCUACGCUCGAAAGGGCAAUGGUCAGCAUAAUAGGGAUACUACCGAUGAUGGUCGCUGUAUACUGGGCGCUGCCUUGCUCAGCUGAAAACGCCACCGCAGAGGCUCCGUGGAAGGACUUGAACCUCAAGGACAACAAAACUAUAAUGAUAGCGCAACAAGCUAUGGACUUUGUCAACAACCGAGGCUUUCAGUACCAAUACGUCUUGGAAGUGCGGAGCGCUAAGUUCUCGGAAGAAGGAGAUAAGCAUUACUACAUCCUGACGUACACGACAGCUCAAGCGUACUGCACUACGUCCGCCCCAUACGUAAGGGAAAAAUGCAAGCCUCUGGAUAAACUGGCCAGUGACGAGUGCACUGCUUAUAUGUUAAUGGUACCCAAAGAAGAAUUCGUGCAGGUGACAAAAAUGGAAUGCCACGAAAUAGAGCCACACGACAGUCAUAUUAGAAUAAAAGAUGAAUAGCCAUUC